UUAUAUUUAAACUAUUGUGCAACAAUUUUGGAAUUCAAUUCUCAUCUGAACUUGCCAAGAACAAAACUUUCAACACCCAAAAGGUUUCCCUGGAUAUACUCAACAAGACAACACUGAAGUAAGACUAAAAUAGCAAGAAAAACGAAAUGGGAAGUUUGAAAAACUUGAAACCACUGUAGCUUUACUCAAUCACCCCAAAAUUGUAGAGCUGGGAAUGGGAAAACAGCAAGAAAAACGAAAUGGGUAUGUGAA
rnacentral:misc_RNA from 1 species